GGCGGCAGCAGUGUCUCCGGGACUCGCGUGGAGGUCGGUCACUCUGAGUCAGUCGCUGCGCUGUUUCUCCGCCUGCUGCUUCAGCGCGGCUGUACCAGCGAGCGAGCUCGUUGUUGGGAGUCGUUCGCGGCGCUGCCUCCUUCUCGUAGCCGCCGCGGACUGGCUGCUCGUUCUUUCGCUCGAUUGCUGCCCCUCUCCGCUGCCUCGAGGCGCUUUCCAUUGGGCCAGUUCCCUCCCGCUUCCUCCUGCUCCCCAUCGAAGCUCUAGAGAUGAAUUUUUCCAUCUCUUUAGAGAUGAACCAGAUUAUGAUGCAUCUUUGUCACAGAAGAAAUUCGUGUCUAUAGCUUUUAAGGACUUGAUUACAUCAUUUUCAAGCCUGAUAGUUUUGGAACCACCAUUAGAGCUUAAGACACAUCUACCUUUACUUCAGCUACCUGUCUUCAUACCUUGACUAAGUGCUUCAUUUCAUCACUCCUUUGCCUUUGGAUUAUUUGCAUUCCCAGUAAUACAUUUCUUCCAGUAUAGUAGCCAAAUUUAUAAGGAAAAAUGAUUCCCAAUGGAUAUUUGAUGUUUGAAGAUGAAAAUUUUAUUGAGUCUUCUGUUGCCAAAUUAAAUGCCCUGAGGAAAAGUGGCCAGUUCUGUGAUGUUCGACUUCAGGUCUGUGGUCAUGAGAUGUUAGCACACAGAGCAGUACUAGCUUGUUGCAGUCCCUAUUUAUUUGAAAUCUUUAAUAGUGAUAGUGAUCCUCAUGGAGUUUCUCAUGUUAAAUUUGAUGAUCUCAAUCCAGAAGCUGUUGAAGUCUUGUUGAAUUAUGCCUACACUGCUCAGUUGAAAGCUGAUAAGGAAUUGGUGAAAGAUGUUUAUUCUGCAGCAAAAAAGCUGAAGAUGGACCGAGUAAAGCAGGUUUGUGGUGAUUAUUUACUGUCUCGGAUGGAUAUUACCAGCUGCAUCUCUUACCGAAAUUUUGCAAGUUGUAUGGGAGACUCCCGUUUGUUAAAUAAGGUUGAUGCUUAUAUUCAGGAGCAUUUGUUACAAAUUUCAGAAGAGGAAGAAUUUCUUAAGCUUCCCCGACUAAAGUUGGAGGUAAUGCUAGAAGAUAAUGUUUGCUUGCCCAGCAAUGGCAAAUUGUAUACAAAGGUAAUCAACUGGGUGCAGCGUAGCAUCUGGGAGAAUGGAGACAGUCUGGAAGAGCUGAUGGAAGAGGUUUAUUAACAAAACUAGGAUACCCAAGACUGAAGAAACAAGAAGAAACCUCAAGUGUAUUGACACGUAAAGAAGCAGCAGUCCUGCCCCAGUUCUCCUAAGAAAAAUCCGCUGUGGGCAGAGAACGAUGAUGAUUUAAUGGUGUUUACUCCUUUACAGGAUUCUUAUCUCUAAAGCUUUGUGUUUUUCAAUGGUGUUGUUAAUACAUAAAGUCACUCAUUUAACUUGGGCUACUUUUAAAAAAUACAUAAGAAAAAAAUUGAUACAGAAAUGGUGGGAAUUAAAAAUAUACAGGUGGAGCAGUGGAGUAACCUUGAGUUUAUUGCUCCCCAUAAACCUUUCAGGAUCAAUAAAGGAUUACCAAAUCUGUUAGUCCUAUAAAAAUACUGUUGUCAUUAUGUUCUAAAAAGGCUAACAGUUGAUCUUUAAGUUCUGUGAUUUCCCACUUAUCAGAUGCGCUAGCCAUAUAUUUGCAUCUGUUAAAAGAGGAUAACUACAGCUUGCUUGAAUUUUUGCUUUUUUUUUUUAUGUUUUUCUUGACAUUACCUACAAGAGAGAAGUAUGUUUAUACAAAUCAGACCAUUUAUCUUCAAAGGUGUAAACUAUUCAAUAGUUUUUUGUAAAUAUGUAUAUUCUUUAAGAGUCUAUAAAUUGUACUAGUGCCUUUUUUCUUAAUGUAAUAGAAGCUAUGAAACAAAUGAAGAUUUCUUUCAAGCCAGUCAAGCCAAGGACUCUUCAGCCAGUAUUGGAAGAUUUUGUAUUUGCUUUUGCUUUUUUGUUUUUGCUUUUUAAAUUUUUACCACCAUGACAUGUAUUUUUCUUUACUUCGGAAUCCUGCCAGAGUAAGAAGUCAAGAAGCUCAAGAACCACACUGGAGGUUACCUUGAGGCGUUUGUGUAAUCUGCAUACUAGUGGAGUAGCCAUGGUGACAGUAGCCACAUGGGUGUUCUGUUGCUGUUUUGCAGGUUCAAACCUUGUACUACUCAGCUGAUCACAAGCUGCUUGAUGGGAACCUACUAGAUGGACAGGCUGAGGUCUUUGGCAGUGAUGAUGACCACAUUCAGUUUGUGCAGAAAAAGCCACCACGUGAGAAUGGCCAUAAGCAGAUAAGUAGCAGUUCCACUGGAUGUCUCUCUUCUCCAAAUGCUACAGUACAAAGCCCUAAGCAUGAGUGGAAAAUCGUUGCUUCGGAGAAGACUUCGAAUAACACUUACUUGUGCCUAGCUGUGCUGGAUGGUAUCUUCUGUGUGAUCUUCCUUCAUGGUCGAAAUAGCCCACAGAGCUCACCAACAAGUACUCCAAAACUAGUCAAGAGUUUAAGCUUUGAGAUGCAGCCAGAUGAACUAAUAGAAAAGCCCAUGUCUCCCAUGCAGUAUGCACGAUCUGGUUUGGGUACAGCAGAGAUGAAUGGCAAACUCAUAGCUGCAGGUGGCUAUAACAGAGAAGAAUGUCUUCGAACAGUUGAAUGCUACGAUCCACAUACAGAUCAUUGGUCCUUCCUUGCUCCCAUGAGAACGCCAAGAGCUCGAUUUCAAAUGGCUGUACUCAUGGGUCAGCUCUAUGUGGUAGGUGGAUCAAACGGCCACUCAGAUGACCUGAGUUGUGGAGAGAUGUAUGAUCCAAACAUCGAUGACUGGACUCCUGUUCCAGAGUUGAGAACUAAUCGUUGUAAUGCAGGAGUGUGUGCUCUCAAUGGAAAGUUAUACAUUGUUGGUGGCUCUGAUCCAUAUGGUCAAAAGGGGCUGAAAAAUUGUGAUGUAUUUGAUCCUGUAACAAAGUCAUGGACAAGCUGUGCUCCUCUUAACAUUCGUAGACACCAGUCUGCAGUCUGUGAACUUGGUGGUUAUCUGUACAUAAUUGGAGGUGCAGAGUCUUGGAAUUGUCUGAACACAGUAGAACGUUACAAUCCUGAAAAUAACACCUGGACUUUAAUUGCACCCAUGAAUAUAGCGAGGCGAGGAGCUGGGGUAGCUGUUCUUGAUGGAAAACUGUUUGUAGGUGGUGGUUUUGAUGGUUCUCAUGCUAUCAGUUGUGUGGAGAUGUAUGAUCCAACUAGAAAUGAAUGGAAGAUGAUGGGAAAUAUGACUUCACCAAGGAGCAAUGCUGGGAUCACAACUGUAGGGAGUACCAUUUAUGCAGUGGGAGGAUUUGAUGGCAAUGAAUUUUUGAAUACGGUCGAAGUCUAUAACCUUGAGUCAAAUGAGUGGAGCCCUUACACAAAGAUUUUCCAGUUUUAACACAUUUUAAGACCCUCUCAAACUAACAGGCUUAGUGAUGUAAUUGUGUUUAGUAGAGGUACACUUGUGAAUAAGGAGGGUGGGUGGGUAUAGAUGUUGCUAACAGCAACACAAAGCUUUUGCAUAUUGCAUAUUAUUACAUGCUGUACAUACUUUUUUGUGUUUGGAAAGGAAUGCAAAGAUGAUUUUUUUUGUGUGUAUUUUUAAGACUUCUUUGGUUAUUUUACUUUUUGGAAAUUGAUAUUGUAAAAGAAUAAACCAAGAAUUGAUUGGGCACAUCAUUUCAAGAAAUCCCCUCUCCUCCACAUUUGUUUUGCCAAUUUGCACAUUAAAUGACUCUUCCCUCAAAUGUGUAUUAUGGGGCAAGAGGGGGUAGGGUUUAAAGAUGUAGGCAGUUGGGUUUUUUAAGGGCCCUUUUUCAAUAACUGGAACACUCUAUAACAAAAGAUACUUAUUUAAAUAGAAGACAAUAACUAUUUUUGUUUUUAUUAAAAGAAAGCUAACUUGCCUACCAAUAUUUAAUCUUUUAUGAUUGCCUUUUUAUAACUUUUUAUAUUCUCAGCAGAGUGCUUUACCUGUUGAAGUAAAAUAUGGCAGAUUCAAGUUAGUGAAGCAGAGUGGCAAUCUUAAAGGAUGCAGAGUGGAGUGAUUCUUUUAAAUGCUCAGAAUGCAAACUUUUAAGCAUUUGGCUCAGCUGCAUUUUUUUUUUUCUUCUGAGAAUGCAGUACCAACGUUUUUUUGAAUGGAGUUGCUGAACAGUAACAUAGUGAUGAUUUUUGGUAUUUGAAACACUGGUUUGAAGUAUUUUGAUUUGUUGAGGGUAUAGUUUAUUCAGCAAGAGAUUUAACUAUAUAAAAGAACAGUGAAGUAUUUGAUCUUCCAUAAUUCUGCUUUUAUUUAUCAUUAACAAAAGAAUACUAAACAGAAGCCCUUGAUUGAAAAAGUUUAAACUGUGUUGGGUUUGUGAAUGCAGCCUUUAUCAGAACUACAUUUUUGCUCAGUUUUUUUUUUUUUGCUCAUAUGGAUAAAUCUGGGGGAUGAUUUGGUGUCUAAUGUGUAGUGUUACACGCCUAACUGAUGGUGCCAAACUUAGCACGUCCUAAUGCUUGCUGCAGAUGCAAACACAUUAAAGGUACUUUGCAGGAAAUCCUUGCACCAUGGGAUUAAUACCCAGUUGUUUGUGUACUCAUUCAUUACUAAAAGUUUGGGGGAAAAUUUUUCAGUGAGGAAGAGUUAAAGCAUUUGGGGAAAAUACCCACCUGGCAUAUUACAUCUGAAAGAAAUGGAUAAUGUAAGGUGUUUUUUCUUGUCACAGACAAUGAAACACAGGAACCUAAUGAGCCAUGUAGGAUGAGAGGACUAUUCAGUAGCUAACUUGGGUUAGGAAAAAAAAUUGAAUAUUUUCUUGAAAUAUGUUGGUACUCUGGUACUUUGCCACCUUUCUCUCAUCUGUUUUUACAGAAAACCAAGAAAGGAAAUCAGUUCACCUGGUUACUGUGUAGUUCCUGACUAACCAUCUGUCUCUGGUUUGUUUCUGAACUAAAACGAGAAGUUUAAAUUUGAAUUUGCCUACUAGGAUGACUGUUGUUUAUGGAUCUGUGUUUGUUCUAUUCAGCACAAGGAAAUAAAGUUUAAGUUGAGGAUUCAGCACUAAAA